rnacentral:rRNA from 1 species
GGGUUGUGAGGUUAAGCGAAUAAGCGUACACGGUGGAUGCCUAGGCAAUCAGAGGCGAUGAAGGACGUGCUAAUCUGCGAAAAGCGUCGGUAAGGUGAUAUGAACCGUUAUACCCGACGAUAUCCGAAUGGGGAAACCCAGUAUCCAAUGGAUACUAUCAUUAACUGAAUCCAUAGGUUAAUGAGGCGAACCGGGAGAACUGAAACAUCUCAGUACCCCGAGGAAAAGAAAUCAACCGAGAUUCCCCUAGUAGCGGCGAGCGAACGGGGAGCAGCCCAGAGUCUUAAUCAAUAGCAGUGUCAGGAGAACGGUCUGGAAAGUCCGGCAGUAAAGGGUGAUAGCCCCGUAUCUGAAGAUGCUGUUAUUGUGAACUCGACGAGUAGGGCGGGACACGUGUUAUCCUGUCUGAAUAUGGGGGGACCAUCCUCCAAGGCUAAAUACUCCUGAUUGACCGAUAGUGAACCAGUACCGUGAGGGAAAGGCGAAAAGAACCCCGGCGAGGGGAGUGAAAAAGAACCUGAAACCGUGUACGUACAAGCAGUAGGAGCCCCAUCACUCAAGUGCCUCGCACUGAGUGAUGCAAGAACAUCACCGAAAAUAGCGCCGAAUUUGCUAACAAGGUUGGUCGAUUUUUUCAAGCCGUCGCGCAGUGUACCUAGAAGUACACGAGCAACGGAAGUUAAAAAAUCGGGCAAGAUUGAACGCAAAGGCAAGCGGGACAUUUGAGGAUGGGGUGACUGCGUACCUUUUGUAUAAUGGGUCAGCGACUUAUAUUCUGUAGCGAGGUUAACCGUAUAGGGGAGCCGUAGGGAAACCGAGUCUUAACUGGGCGAAUGAGUUGCAGGGUAUAGACCCGAAACCCGGUGAUCUAUCCAUGGGCAGGUUGAAGGUUGGGUAACACUAACUGGAGGACCGAACCGACUAAUGUUGAAAAAUUAGCGGAUGACUUGUGGAUGGGGGUGAAAGGCCAAUCAAACCGGGAGAUAGCUGGUUCUCCCCGAAAGCUAUUUAGGUAGCGCCUCGUGAACUCAUCUUCGGGGGUAGAGCACUGUUUCGACUAGGGGGUCAUCCCGACUUACCAACUCGAUGCAAACUGCGAAUACCGAAGAAUGUUAUCACGGGAGACACACGGCGGGUGCUAACGUCCGUCGUGAAGAGGGAAACAACCCAGACCGCCAGCUAAGGUCCCAAAGUCAUGGUUAAGUGGGAAACGAAGUGGGAAGGCUCAGACAGCCAGGAUGUUGGCUUAGAAGCAGCCAUCAUUUAAAGAAAGCGUAAUAGCUCACUGGUCGAGUCGGCCCGCGCGGAAGAUGUAACGGGGCUAAACCAUGCACCGAAGCUGCGGCAGCGACACACAGUGUUGUUGGGUAGGGGAGCGUUCUGUAAGCCUGCGAAGGUGUACUGUGAGGUAUGCUGGAGGUAUCAGAAGUGCGAAUGCUGACAUAAGUAACGAUAAUGCGGGUGAAAAACCCGCACGCCGGAAGACCAAGGGUUCCUGUCCAACGUUAAUCGGGGCAGGGUGAGUCGACCCCUAAGGCGAGGCUGAAAAGCGUAGUCGAUGGGAAACGGGUUAAUAUUCCCGUACUGGUGGUAACUGCGAUGGGGGAACGGAGAAGGCUAGGUUGUCCGGGCGACGGUCGUCCCGGUUCAAGCAGGUAGGCAGAGUGAUUAGGCAAAUCCGGUCACUUAAUGCUGAGAUGUGAUGACGAACCACCAAGGUGGUGAAGCAAUUGAUGCCCCGCUUCCAGGAAAAGCCUCUAAGCUUCAGGUUACCAACAAUCGUACCCCAAACCGACACAGGUGGUCAGGUAGAGAAUACUCAGGCGCUUGAGAGAACUCGGGUGAAGGAACUAGGCAAAAUGGUGCCGUAACUUCGGGAGAAGGCACGCUGGCGGUAGGUAAAGUCCCUCGCGGACAGAGCUGAAGCCAGUCGAAGAUACCAGCUGGCUGCAACUGUUUAUUAAAAACACAGCACUGUGCAAACACGAAAGUGGACGUAUACGGUGUGACGCCUGCCCGGUGCUGGAAGGUUAAUUGAUGGGGUCAGCCGCAAGGCGAAGCUCCUGAUCGAAGCCCCAGUAAACGGCGGCCGUAACUAUAACGGUCCUAAGGUAGCGAAAUUCCUUGUCGGGUAAGUUCCGACCUGCACGAAUGGCGUAAUGAUGGCCAGGCUGUCUCCACCCGAGACUCAGUGAAAUUGAACUCGCUGUGAAGAUGCAGUGUACCCGCGGCAAGACGGAAAGACCCCGUGAACCUUUACUAUAGCUUGACACUGAACAUUGAGCCUUGAUGUGUAGGAUAGGUGGGAGGCUUUGAAGUGUGGACGCCAGUCUGCAUGGAGCCAACCUUGAAAUACCACCCUUUAACGUUUGAUGUUCUAACCUAGGCCCAUAAACUGGGUCGGGGACCGUGUCUGGUGGGUAGUUUGACUGGGGCGGUCUCCUCCUAAAGAGUAACGGAGGAGCACGAAGGUUGGCUAAGCAUGGUCGGACAUCAUGCGGUUAGUGCAAAGGCAUAAGCCAGCUUGACUGCGAGAGUGACGGCUCGAGCAGGUACGAAAGUAGGUCUUAGUGAUCCGGUGGUUCUGAAUGGAAGGGCCAUCGCUCAACGGAUAAAAGGUACUCCGGGGAUAACAGGCUGAUACCGCCCAAGAGUUCAUAUCGACGGCGGUGUUUGGCACCUCGAUGUCGGCUCAUCACAUCCUGGGGCUGAAGUAGGUCCCAAGGGUAUGGCUGUUCGCCAUUUAAAGUGGUACGCGAGCUGGGUUUAGAACGUCGUGAGACAGUUCGGUCCCUAUCUGCCGUGGGCGUUGGAAGAUUGAGAGGGGUUGCUCCUAGUACGAGAGGACCGGAGUGAACGCACCACUGGUGUUCGGGUUGUCAUGCCAAUGGCAUUGCCCGGUAGCUAAGUGCGGAAGAGAUAACCGCUGAAAGCAUCUAAGCGGGAAACUUGCCUCGAGAUGAGUCUUCCCUGUCGCUUUAAGCGACCUAAAGGAACGUUUAAGACUAAGACGUUGAUAGGCUGGGUGUGUAAGCGUAGCGAUACGUUGAGCUAACCAGUACUAAUGAACCGUGAGGCUUAACCUGACAACACCGAAGGUGUUU